rnacentral:rRNA from 1 species
UACGGGGGGAGCAAGCGUUGUUCGGAUUUACUGGGCGUAAAGGGCGCGUAGGCGGUCAGCACAAGUCAGUUGUGAAAUCUCCGGGCUUAACCCGGAAAGGUCAACUGAUACUGUGCGACUAGAGUGCGGAAGGGGCAACUGGAAUUGCUGGUGUAGCGGUGAAAUGCGUAGAGAUCAGCAGGAACACCCGUGGCGAAGGCGGCCCCCUGGGCCGUACCUGACGCUGAGGCGCGAAGGCUAGGGGAGCGAACGGG